AUUGAACGCUGGCGGCAGGCCUAACACAUGCAAGUCGAGCGGUAGCACAGAGAGCUUGCUCUCGGGUGACGAGCGGCGGACGGGUGAGUAAUGUCUGGGAAACUGCCUGAUGGAGGGGGAUAACUACUGGAAACGGUAGCUAAUACCGCAUAACGUCGCAAGACCAAAGUGGGGGACCUUCGGGCCUCAUGCCAUCAGAUGUGCCCAGAUGGGAUUAGCUAGUAGGUGGGGUAACGGCUCACCUAGGCGACGAUCCCUAGCUGGUCUGAGAGGAUGACCAGCCACACUGGAACGGAGACACGGUCCAGACUCCUACGGGAGGCAGCAGUGGGGAAUAUUGCACAAUGGGCGCAAGCCUGAUGCAGCCAUGCCGCGUGUGUGAAGAAGGCCUUCGGGUUGUAAAGCACUUUCAGCGGGGAGGAAGGCGGUGAGGUUAAUAACCUCAUCGAUUGACGUUACCCGCAGAAGAAGCACCGGCUAACUCCGUGCCAGCAGCCGCGGUAA
rnacentral:rRNA from 1 species